GGACUACCGGGGUUUCUAAUCCUGUUUGCUACCCACGCUUUCGCGUCUCAGCGUCAAUAUCGGUCCAGGCAGCCGCCUUCGCCACCGGUGUUCCUCCUGAUAUCUACGGAUUUCACUCCUACACCAGGAAUUCCACUACCCUCUCCCGUAUUCAAGUCUGACAGUUUCCAAUGCACUUCCCAGGUUGAGCCCGGGGCUUUCACAUCAGACUUACCAAACCGCCUACACGCGCUUUACGCCCAAUAAUUCCGAACAACGCUCGCACCCUCCGUAUUACCGCGGCUGCUGGCAC
rnacentral:rRNA from 1 species